rnacentral:rRNA from 1 species
UACGUAGGUGACAAGCGUUGUCCGGAUUUACUGGGCGUAAAGAGCGCGCAGGCGGUCGUGCAAGUCGAGUGUGAAAGCCCCCGGCUCAACUGGGGAGGGUCACUCGAUACUGAUCGACUCGAAGGCAGGAGAGGGAAGUGGAAUUCCGGGUGUAGUGGUGAAAUGCGUAGAUAUCCGGAGGAACACCAGUGGCGAAGGCGACUUUCUGGCCUGUUCUUGACGCUGAGGCGCGAAAGCUAGGGGAGCAAACGGG